rnacentral:rRNA from 1 species
CUCAUAUUGAACGCUGGCGGCAGGCCUAACACAUGCAAGUCGAACGGUAACAGGAAGCAGCUUGCUGCUUUGCUGACGAGUGGCGGACGGGUGAGUAAUGUCUGGGAAACUGCCCGAUGGAGGGGGAUAACUACUGGAAACGGUAGCUAAUACCGCAUAACGUCGCAAGACCAAAGAGGGGGACCUUCGGGCCUCUUGCCAUCGGAUGUGCCCAGAUGGGAUUAGCUAGUAGGUGGGGUAACGGCUCACCUAGGCGACGAUCCCUAGCUGGUCUGAGAGGAUGACCAGCCACACUGGAACUGAGACACGGUCCAGCCUCCUACGGGAGGCAGCAGUGGGGAAUAUUGCACAAUGGGCGCAAGCCUGAUGCAGCCAUGCCGCGUGUAUGAAGAAGGCCUUCGGGUUGUAAAGUACUUUCAGCGGGGAGGAAGGGAGUAAAGUUAAUACCUUUGCUCAUUGACGUUACCCGCAGAAGAAGCACCGGCUAACUCCGUGCCAGCAGCCGCGGUAAUACGGAGGGUGCAAGCGUUAAUCGGAAUUACUGGGCGUAAAGCGCACGCAGGCGGUUUGUUAAGUCAGAUGUGAAAUCCCCGGGCUCAACCUGGGAACUGCAUCUGAUACUGGCAAGCUUGAGUCUCGUAGAGGGGGGUAGAAUUCCAGGUGUAGCGGUGAAAUGCGUGGAGAUCUGGAGGAAUACCGGUGGCGAAGGCGGCCCCCUGGACGAAGACUGACGCUCAGGUGCGAAAGCGUGGGGAGCAAACAGGAUUAGAUACCCUGGUAGUCCACGCCGUAAACGAUGUCGACUUGGAGGUUGUGCCCUUGAGGCGUGGCUUCCGGAGCUAACGCGUUAAGUCGACCGCCUGGGGAGUACGGCCGCAAGGUUAAAACUCAAAUGAAUUGACGGGGGCCCGCACAAGCGGUGGAGCAUGUGGUUUAAUUCGAUGCAACGCGAAGAACCUUACCUGGUCUUGACAUCCACGGAAGUUUUCAGAGAUGAGAAUGUGCCUUCGGGAACCGUGAGACAGGUGCUGCAUGGCUGUCGUCAGCUCGUGUUGUGAAAUGUUGGGUUAAGUCCCGCAAUGAGCGCAACCCUUAUCCUUUGUUGCCAGCGGUCCGGCCGGGAACUCAAAGGAGACUGCCAGUGAUAAACUGGAGGAAGGUGGAGAUGACGUCAAGUCAUCAUGGCCCUUACGACCAGGGCUACACACGUGCUACAAUGGCGCAUACAAAGAGAAGCGACCUCGCGAGAGCAAGCGGACCUCAUAAAGUGCGUCGUAGUCCGGAUUGGAGUCUGCAACUCGACUCCGUGAAGUCGGAAUCGCUAGUAAUCGUGGAUCAGAAUGCCACGGUGAAUACGUUCCCGGGCCUUGUACACACCGCCCGUCACACCAUGGGAGUGGGUUGCAAAAGAAGUAGGUAGCUUAACCUUCGGGAGGGCGCUUACCACUUUGU